rnacentral:rRNA from 1 species
CAGGCAUGGAUAUUAUGGGAAGAGGGGAAAGCAACUGAACUAGUGGACUCUUCAGUUGUUGCAAGUUUCCCACUUCAUGAAGCUUUACGGUGCAUUCACGUAGGACGCUUGUGUGUUCAAGACCAUCCCAGUGAUAGGCCACUAAUGUCAUCAGUUCUAUCUAUAAAAGAAAAUGAAAGUGGACUAAUUCCAACUCGAAAGCAACCUGUAUAUUUUACUAUAGGUAAUUGUGAAGGUGAAGAAGCAAGGGAGAACAUUGAGAAUUCAUUGAAUGCAAUUAGUAUCACAACACUUGAGGGCCGUUAG